rnacentral:rRNA from 1 species
CAGCAGCCGCGGGAAUACGGAGGGUGCAAGCGUUAAUCGGAAUUACUGGGCGUAAAGCGCACGCAGGCGGUCUGACAAGUCAGAUGUGAAAUCCCCGGGCUUAACCUGGGAACUGCAUUUGAAACUGUCAGGCUGGAGUCUUGUAGAGGGGGGUGGAAUUCCAGGUGUAGCGGUGAAAUGCGUAGAGAUCUGGAGGAAUACCGGUGGCGAAGGCGGCCCCCUGGACAAAGACUGACGCUCAGGUGCGAAAGCGUGGGGAGCAAACAGGAUUAGAUACCCGUGUAGUCCCUGUCUCUUAUAC